UGAUGCAGCGACGCCGCGUGAGGGAUGGAGGCCUUCGGGUUGUAAACCUCUUUCGCCAGUGAAGCAGGCCUGCUCCUUGUGGGUGGGUUGACGGUAGCUGGAUAAGAAGCGCCGGCUAACUACGUGCCAGCAGCCGCGGUAAUACGUAGGGCGCGAGCGUUGUCCGGAAUUAUUGGGCGUAAAGAGCUCGUAGGCGGCUGGUCGCGUCUGUCGUGAAAUCCUCUGGCUUAACUGGGGGCUUGCGGUGGGUACGGGCCGGCUUGAGUGCGGUAGGGGAGACUGGAACUCCUGGUGUAGCGGUGGAAUGCGCAGAUAUCAGGAAGAACACCGGUGGCGAAGGCGGGUCUCUGGGCCGUUACUGACGCUGAGGAGCGAAAGCGUGGGGAGCGAACAGGAUUAGAUACCCUGGUAGUCCACGCCGUAAACGUUGGGCACUAGGUGUGGGGGGCCUUUUCCGGGUCUUCCGCGCCGUAGCUAACGCAUUAAGUGCCCCGCCUGGGGAGUACGGCCGCAAGGCUAAAACUCAAAGGAAUUGACGGGGGCCCGCACAAGCGGCGGAGCAUGCGGAUUAAUUCGAUGCAACGCGA
rnacentral:rRNA from 1 species